CUGAAAUCUUGUAUGCUCAUAUCUGAUGGGAGAUCUUCCCAGGUUGACGUCAAACAGGAAUCGUGGAAGCUGGUAAACAAACCAGCAGAUGGGAACAUUGCUUGCUGUAGUUGAGUAUCAAAUUGGCUGCUGCAAUUAUUGAACUGAUUCACAUCCUGAAACUGGUUUUCACUCAAAAAUGCUGUAGCUACAUCAGAAUUCAUAAUCUGACUUUCCGCAUUGCAUGUUACCGAUUGAAUGAGAUUUUCUAGAAAAUGAGAUUCCUUCAUCAAACUUUCAUUGUUUGCAGUUGGAAAAACAGUGGAAUUCACAAAAUGCAGAUUCUCGCAGCUUGAUGAAGUCGGUGAUCCUCCUAUCCCCUGGAAAAG
rnacentral:misc_RNA from 1 species